GUUGGAUGUGUACCGAUUCAUUCUUUUCGUCCAAGAUAAGUUGAAUUUGAAGUGGAUUUCAGUCACUGCAAGUAUUCCAAUAACUGUACUUUGUGUCUGUAUUUUGGUUGUUGUUUUUGUGUUCUAUACCAAUCUAAUGAGCAUUUUGAAACUUGUUUUUUAGUUCGUUCUUCUGCUGGGCUGUUACACCCAUGUCAAGAUUAAAGGGCAAUUGCUAACAAGCAUGUCUAACUAGUAAUUCAGUGGUUUAGGUGGUUCUUUGUCAUUUUUGUUAUUGGUUAAUUGGAUUAUUUAUUUGUUGUUAGUUUCUCAUUUGAUUUUUGUUCAUGGAUGGCAUUUUCAAACUGGCUAUACGUACGAUAUGAUGUAUUCUAAUUGUUGAAGGUCUUACAGUGACCUAUAUAAUUGCUUACCUCCACGUACUGGUAAGUUUGUCAACAUUUAUUUUAGACAAAAUCUAUUUCUAUCAGACGGGCAAAUAUCCACUUUUUGAUAUGGGACGAUCUCUGACAUCCCACAGCCCCUGCUUGUCUGGUAAAACAGACAUUGGACAUCAGAGGAAUCUCUGACUAUAGUCGCCAUCAGCUGAAAUUCGUAGCGGUUAUCGGUAAAAAUAAUCUAAACUAUCAAUCGCGUUCACUCGAGAUAUAGUUUUUCACAUUCCAUUCAUAAAUCGCAAAAAGAAAAACCACUACUGACCUACUUUUUAAGUGAUCGCACUGUAAUAAUCCUGACCUUCACUUUUUCAUAGACGAUUUUGAAUGGUAGAAUCAGCCAUUGUUUUUACCGGAAGUGUUUCCGUGGAGUUCAAAUUCAUAAAAUUUGCAUAAAGCGCGGGAAACCUUAUCACGUCAAUGAAAGGAACAUUUCAGGAAACUGCG
rnacentral:lncRNA from 1 species